GCCACACUGCGGAACUGCCUGGUGUGUCACCAGGCUGGAGUCCGCCUCGCGAUUCUCACCCAGAUCCCUAAGCCACCCCCUCAUGGUCAGUCCAGACCCCCGGGAGUGACCCCGUGGCCUGCUCCUCCUUGGAGACUCCUGAAUGAGGAGGACCAAGGGCGGGUUGUCCUCAGCCCUGGGGGGACUUCCCAUGGUGGAGAAGGUGAGCAGAACGUGCCCCUUCAAAACAGUGGGGACAAGCCCCCAGCCCAUCUGCCCCCCACACCUCCCAGGAGCACAGGGCGCCCUGGAGAGUCUCCACAGAACGUAGGAGCAGCCCGCUGGGUGGACAGGAGGGUCCCACAGCCGCAGAGCUGGGAGCUGAAGGAACGCCAAGAAGCCGGGUGCCUGGUCCCUGCUGAGAGGCUGUCAAGGUGCCCUCAUCUGUGUCUCUGAAUGGGUGAUUUCUGCCACCCUGGGGUGAAGCCAGCUCUGGGGAAAUGCUUCCCACCUGGGCCUUUGUGUGACUGACCUUCAGGAGGGAGGAGGGAUGGUAUCCCGGUCAGCAAGAUUCCCAGUGCCCGUGGGCAAACGCCCUGUCUCAGGAGGCUUCAACCAGGACACCUAUGCUCUUUUGUAACAGGGUGAACAGAGAGGCUGGCUAAUUGAGUGGCUCAACAGUAU
rnacentral:lncRNA from 1 species